GAUGAACGCUGGCGGCGUGCCUAAUACAUGCAAGUCGAGCGAACAGAUAAGGAGCUUGCUCCUUUGACGUUAGCGGCGGACGGUGAGUAACACGUGGGUAACCUACCUAUAAGACUGGGAAAACCUCGGGAAACCGGGGCCAAUACCGGGUAAUAUUUCGAACCGCAUGGUUCGAUAGUGGAAGAUGGGUUUGCUAUCACCUAUAGAUGGACCCGCGCCGUAUUAGCUAGUUGGUAAGGUAACGGCUUACCAAGGCGACGAUACGUAGCCGACCUGAGAGGGUGAUCGGCCACACUGGAACUGAGACACGGUCCAGACUCCUACGGGAGGCAGCAGUAGGGAAUCUUCCGCAAUGGGCGAAAGCCUGACGGAGCAACGCCGCGUGAGUGAUGAAGGUCUUCGGAUCGUAAAACUCUGUUAUUAGGGAAGAACAUACGUGUAAGUAACUGUGCACGUCUUGACGGUACCUAAUCAGAAAGCCACGGCUAACUACGUG
rnacentral:rRNA from 1 species